rnacentral:rRNA from 1 species
AUUGAACGCUGGCGGCAGGCCUAACACAUGCAAGUCGAACGAGUGGCGGACGGGUGAGUAAUGGCUGUGAAACUGCCCGAUGGAGGGGGAUAACUACUGGAAACGGGAGCAAAAACCGAAUAACAUAGGAUGUGCCCAGAUGGGAUUAGCUAGUAGGUGGGGUAAUGGCUCACCUAGGCGACGCUCCCUAGCUGGUCUGAGAGGAUGACCAGCCACACUGGAACUGAGACACGGUCCAGACUCCUACGGGAGGCAGCAGGGGGGAAUAUUGCACAAUGGGCGCAAGCCUGAUGCAGCCAUGCCGCGUGUAUGAAGAAGGCCUUCGGGUUGUAAAGUACUUUCAGCGAGGAGGCGUUACUCGCAGAAGAAGCACCGGCUAACUCCGUGCCAGCAGCCGCGGUAAUAC